AAAAUCAGUUCUAAUAUGUUUCUCGUGAAGCCCAUAUCAUCUAACACAUUUCAUUGAUAGCAUUUUGAAUAGGACACGAAUGCCAUACAGAUGGUAAAGUGUUUUUAAAUAAAAUUAUAAUAAUAACAGCAUUUUGAAGCUAAGCAGAAGCCGCUAUCUUGGAUUUCAAGAUGGCUUCGGAUAAAGAAAUUCAAAUUCUACACGUUGAGCCCUUUCACUCAAUACCCAUAAUGUGUGGGUUUCAUACAUUUUUCAGUCAUUUACUGCAUUUUGAAGAUAAGCGGAAGUCGCCAUCUUUGAUUCCAAGAUGGCGUUGGAUGUAGAAAUUCGACUUCUACUCGUUGAGCCCUUUCACCCAAUACCCACAUUGUAAGGGUUCAUACAUUUUUCAGUAAUUUACUGCAUUUUGAAGUAAUUCGAAAGCCGUCAUCUUGGAUUUCAAGAUGGCAUCGGAUGACGAAAUUCGACUUCUAUUUGAUGAGCCCUUUCACCCAAUACCCAUGUUGUGUGGGUUUCAUACAUUUUUCAGUAAUUUGCAGAAUUUUAAAGUUUGGCAGAAGCCGCCAUCUUGGAUUCCAAGAUGGCGUCGGAUGAAUAAAUUCGACUUCUACUCUUAAGCCCUUUCAUCCAAUACCCAUAUUGUGUGGGUUUCAUACAUUUUUCAGUCAUUUACAGCAUUUUUAAGCUAAAUUGAGUGUUGCACUUAAGUUUAUAGUUACUUUAGAAGUGUUUAAAAAGUCAAUACGAUACGAGCGAAUGGCAAUAAAAACACAUAAAACCCAUCCCCAUGCUGAGUAAAAUCAGCGUGUAAUAAAUAUGAAACCAAGAUAGGUUGAAAUGCACCAAGCGUGCAGGUUUGGGUUAAAAGCACCCAAUUCGGUGGAAACCAAACCGGGCGUGGAGGAAGCUGUCAAAACCGGCCACGCCAUUGGGAUUGGGCCUGCUAAAAAGAAUAAAGCUUGCUCUUUACUCUUACACAGAUUUCCAUAAGAAUGACAGUUAAUCGGAGUGAAAUUGGAGUGAAGGCUAUUGCUUUCUCUGUUUAACACACGAGAAAUCGUAUACCGGGAUUGCGAUCGCGCCCAGCGCCCAUUGUGCUGCAAAAUUUUGGCGUGACGCGGUCGGAAAAAUUUAAGUGCCCGGAAAUUGGCCGCAAGUGUCGGACAGAAACGCGGGUUUUCACGCGCUGCGUUCUGGAGUGGAAUUGGGACGUCGACCAGCAUCGCCCACGGACCCAGGGACGAGCAAGCCGCUCAAAUCGCCGUUCGUGGUCGCUCGUACCUAUAGCCGACCAAGCGGUCAUCAGCUCGGCAAUCCAAGAGGUAGGAUUUCCUGAUUUUAAAAGCGAACGCUUACGCUCUUUUCCAUUCCGUAGGAAAAGGAACGACCGAACGAGCCAGUUUCGCAGAGGUUCGCUAAUAGCUCUCGAGAAGGCCGCACACUUGCGGCCCCUUUUCGGAGAUUGGGAGAGAUGAGAUCUCAUCUCUGGCACCAAACCUUCGGAAACAACACCGCAGCCCCCUGAUAGACCCCAGGAGCACUCGCCGUGCUGUCAAUCGGCGCUCCAGGUCACCGAGCAGCCGAACAUCGAGGUAGAGGUACCUAAGGAGCUACCAAGGCAGUGCUCUGAACGCAGAACAGUGGAGCGGUUCCAUCAGCAGUACCAGGCGGUGCAAAACCCGCAAGAUAGUCCGCAGGCGGCGUUCGGAUCAGUGGGCAGCAGAGCAGAGAAGAAGCACAGCGGUGCUACUCGAUCGGUGCGCAGUGGAGGUGAAUUGAGCAGUGGCGGAUGCAGUUUCGCUUGCCGCUAAACGGUGCUCUGGCCACAGCCAGCGGAAGCUGGAUGAACACAGCUGGCAUGCUGAGGCAGGACCGGAAAAGCACCGAACAGAGGAGGUCCGAGCAGGCGUUCUGUGAAGCGGUGAGUACACGCUGAUUGGGGAA